rnacentral:rRNA from 1 species
UACGGAGGGUGCAAGCGUUAAUCGGAAUUACUGGGCGUAAAGCGCACGCAGGUGGCUGAGUCAGUCGAUUGUGAAAGCCCUGGGCUUAACCUGGGAAUUGCAGUCGAUACUACUCAGCUAGAGUAUGGGAGAGGGUAGUGGAAUUCCCGGUGUAGCGGUGAAAUGCGUAGAUAUCGGGAGGAACAUCAGUGGCGAAGGCGGCUACCUGGACAAUUGCUGACGCUCAGGCACGAAAGCGUGGGGAGCAAAAGGG